ensembl:snRNA U7 U7 small nuclear RNA
AAAUGUUACAGCUCUUUUAGAAUUUGUCUAGCAGUUUUUCUGGUCCUCACCAGAAGACUCCC